rnacentral:rRNA from 1 species
AUGAUGGAUAACAAGAAUAAAUCUGUCUUAAUUUAAAUUAUUAUAAAUUUAUAUUUAGGUGAAGAAUCCUAAAUAAAUCUAUAGGACAAAAAGACCCUAUUGAGCUUUAUUUAAUUUUAUAUAUAAAAUUUUUUUAAAAAGGUUUAUAUAAUAAUAAGAGUUUGGUUGGGGCGACAUAGGAAUAAAAAAAUCUUCUUAUAAGAAUAUAAAAAUAAUAAAUAUCCUAGAAAAAGAAAAAAAAUUAGUUACCAUAGGGAUAACAGGCUAAUCUUUAUUGAGAGUUCAUAUUAACAUAAAGGGUUGGCACCUCGAU